rnacentral:rRNA from 1 species
AUUGAACGCUGGCGGCACGCCUAACACAUGCAAGUCGAGCGGCAGCGCGAUCAGUAGCAAUACUGAUUGGCGGCGAGCGGCGGACGGGUGAGUAACACGUAGGAACCUGCCCAGAAGUGGGGGAUAACUAAUGGAAACGUUAGCUAAUACCGCAUACAUUCGGGAGAAGAAAGCUGCAGCAAUGUGGCGCUUUUGGAGGGGCCUGCGUACGAUUAGCUAGUUGGUGAGGUAAUGGCUCACCAAAGCGAUGAUCGUUAACUGGUCUGAGAGGACGACCAGUCACACUGGGACUGAGACACGGCCCAGACUCCUACGGGAGGCAGCAGUGGGGAAUCUUGGACAAUGGGGGAAACCCUGAUCCAGCGACGCCGCGUGAGUGAAGAAGGCCCUCGGGUCGUAAAGCUCUUUAGGCUGGGAAGAAGGUUGAUUGAGGAAAUGCUUUCAACUUGACGGUACCAGCAGAAUAAGCACCGGCAAACUCUGUGCCAGCAGCCGCGGUAA